UACCGUGAGGGAAAGUUGAAAAGAACUUUGAAGAGAGAAUUAAAGAGUACGUGAAACCGUUCAGGGGUAAACCUGAGAAACCCAAAAGAUCGAAUGGGGAGAUUCAGCGUUCAACGAUUCGUCUGGCUUCCGUGUGGCUCGCGAUGUCAAGGAGCUCGGUGUCGCGUUUACGCGUGGCAUCGUAGCGCUUGGUACGCAGUCGCUGCGGUAUGACCGGCAUCGUCGGCGUGCACUUCUCCCCUAGUAGGACGUCGCGACCCGUUGGGCGUCGGCUUAAGGCAGCGAACGGUAGUCUGUGAGGGAGCCUCUCGGGGCUUUUUUGCAGACCGAUUCGAUCAAACUGGCCCGGCCGACUGCUCGGCGGUAUUGAAUUUAAAACAAUGGUAUAGAGUCGCAUCGAAUGCGUUCGACUCGUCGGCAGGCUCGCCUCGCUCGGCUUUUAAAAACGGACCUGGUGCCGUAGCUGGGUGCUUGGUGUGGCUGUUUCAGCCGGCGAUGAU
rnacentral:rRNA from 1 species